UGGAGAUGGCCCACGAAGGGAUGAUCUGGAGUCUGGCGUGGCACCCACUUGGACAUAUUCUCUGCUCAGGCUCAAAUGACCACACUAGCAAAUUCUGGACUCGAAACCGACCAGGUGAUAAAUGCGAGAUCGAUAUAAUCUAAACCUUUUACCUGGAAUGUCUGAAGAUGGAGUAGAAUAUGAUGACCUUGAACCUAAUAGCCUGGCGGUGAUUCCAGGGAUGGGAAUACCUGAACAGCUAAAAUUAGCUAUGGAACAAGAGCAGAUGGUGA